rnacentral:rRNA from 1 species
GUGAACGCUGGCGGUAGGCCUAACACCUGCAAGUCGAACGGCAGCACAGUAAGAGCUUGCUCUUACGGGUGGCGAGUGGCGGACUGGUGAGGAAUACAUCGGAAUCUACUUUUUCGUGGGGGAUAACGUAGGGAAACUUACGCUAAUACCGCAUACGACCUACGGGUGAAAGCAGGGGAUCUUCGGACCUUGCGCGAUUGAAUGAGCCGAUGUCGGAUUAGCUAGUUGGCGGGGUAAAGGCCCACCAAGGCGACGAUCCGUAGCUGGUCUGAGAGGAUGAUCAGCCACACUGGAACUGAGACACGGUCCAGACUCCUACGGGAGGCAGCAGUGGGGAAUAUUGGACAAUGGGCGCAAGCCUGAUCCAGCCAUACCGCGUGGGUGAAGAAGGCCUUCGGGUUGUAAAGCCCUUUUGUUGGGAAAGAAAAGCAGCAGGUUAAUACCCCGCUGUUCUGACGGUACCCAAAGAAUAAGCACCGGCUAACUUCGUG